rnacentral:rRNA from 1 species
GAUGAACGCUGGCGGCGUGCCUAAUACAUGCAAGUCGAGCGAACGGACGAGAAGCUUGCUUCUCUGAUGUUAGCGGCGGACGGGUGAGUAACACGUGGAUAACCUACCUAUAAACCUGGGAUAACUUCGGGAAACCGGGGCUAAAACGGGAUGAUUUUUUGAACCGAAUGGUUAAAAAGUGAAAGACGGUCUUGCUGUCACUUAUAGAUGGAUCCGCGCUGCAUUAGCUAGUUGGUAAGGUAACGGCUUACCAAGGCAACGAUGCAUAGCCGACCUGAGAGGGUGAUCGGCCACACUGGAACUGAGACACGGUCCAGACUCCUACGGGAGGCAGCAGUAGGGAAUCUUCCGCAAUGGGCGAAAGCCUGACGGAGCAACGCCGCGUGAGUGAUGAAGGUCUUCGGAUCGUAAAACUCUGUUAUUAGGGAAGAACAUAUGUGUAAGUAACUGUGCACAUCUUGACGGUACCUAAUCAGAAAGCCACGGCUAACUACGUG